UACGUAGGUGGCGAGCGUUGUCCGGAUUUAUUGGGCGUAAAGCGCGCGCAGGCGGUGCGGUAAGUCUGUCGUGAAAUCUCCCGGCUCAACUGGGAGGGUGCGGUGGAGACUGCCGGACUGGAGGCACUCAGAGGCCGGUGGAAUUCCCGGUGUAGUGGUGAAAUGCGCAGAUAUCAGGAGGAACACCGAUGGCGAAGGCAGGUCUCUGGGCCGAUACUGACGCUGAGGAGCGAAAGCGUGGGGAGCGAACAGG
rnacentral:rRNA from 1 species